AUUGAACGCUGGCGGCAGGCCUAACACAUGCAAGUCGAGCGGAUGAAGGUAGCUUGCUACCUGAUUCAGCGGCGGACGGGUGAGUAAUGCCUAGGAAUCUGCCUGGUAGUGGGGGACAACGUUUCGAAAGGAACGCUAAUACCGCAUACGUCCUACGGGAGAAAGUGGGGGAUCUUCGGACCUCCCGCUAUCAGAUGAGCCUAGGUCGGAUUAGCUAGUUGGUGAGGUAAAGGCUCACCAAGGCGACGAUCCGUAACUGGGCUGAGAGGAUGAUCAGUCACACUGGAACUGAGACACGGUCCAGACUCCUACGGGAGGCAGCAGUGGGGAAUAUUGGACAAUGGGCGAAAGCCUGAUCCAGCCAUGCCGCGUGUGUGAAGAAGGUCUUCGGAUUGUAAAGCACUUUAAGUUGGGAGGAAGGUCAGUAAGUUAAUACCUUGCUGUUUUGACGUUACCAACAGAAUAAGCACCGGCUAACUUCGUGCCAGCCGCCGCCGUAAAAC
rnacentral:rRNA from 1 species